UCCAGCAUAGCUCAGUCGGUAGAACACAAGACUCUCAAUCUCAGGGUUGUGGAUUUGAGCCCCACAUUGGGAA